AUUGAACGCUGGCGGCAGGCCUAACACAUGCAAGUCGAACGAGUGGCGGACGGGUGAGUAAUGACUGGGAAACUGCCUGAUGGAGGGGGAUAACUACUGGAAACGGUAGCUAAUACCGCAUACCAUCGGAUGUGCCCCGAUGGGAUUAGCUUGUGGGUGGGGUAACGGCUCACCAAGGCGACGAUCCCUCGCUGGUCUGAGAGGAUGAACAGUGACACUGGAACUGAGACACGGUCGAGACUGCUACGCGAGGGAGCAGGGGGGAAUAUUGCACAAUGGGCUCAAGCCUGAUGCAGCCAUGUCGCGUGUAUGAAGAAGGCCUUCGGGUUGUAAAGUACUUUCAGCGGGGAGGCGGUACCCGCAGAAGAAGCACCGGCUAACUCCGUGCCAGCAGACGCGGUAAUAC
rnacentral:rRNA from 1 species